rnacentral:lncRNA from 1 species
GUUAGAUUCAGGGGAGUAACUCUGGGCAGGGUGUGAGUGGCAGGCAAAGAGGAGGCAGCUGCUUUUCAUUCUUUUUGUUUAAUUUCCCACAAAACCGGGAGAGUUUUCUGUCUCUGCCAUCAGUAGUUUUCCACUCUCCGCCCUCCCCUAUCCCUUUAACCCUAGUGUGGCACAUCCCCCACCCCUUUUCUCUUUAUCGUGAGCCUGAGUAAAAGCAGCGAUGUUUCCUGGGAGAGCAGUUGCCCCAGAUGGAGAGGGAAGAAGACAAAGCAGGAAGCUGCAGCAGAACUGGGCCACCAUGACCGGACCCAGGGAGCCGAUGUGCCCUUGCAGUCCUUGAGAGAAACGCCCGACCCCGAAGAGGCAGCGAGGUCGAUGUCAGGACACUGCUGGUGUUUCUGCUCUGCCAGGGGACUCUGAAUGGAUUUGCCAUGGUGACAUGAAAAAGACAGGGGGGAUACCCGACUGCCGGCUGGGAGAUCCUACACACACACACGCAGCCUGAUAGUAUUUUAAUUUAUUACUGUGUUUUCCUGUGAAGGGAGUUGAGAGCAGGAGGGGGG